UAUUCUUUCAUUUUUCUGAACCAAGAAGACAGGAGAGGGUUGGACUGCUUUUCCAUUAACAGGAAUUCUUGAGUAAUCCUGAGAUCUCUGAAGCAAGAGUUGAUGGAGACAAGAGGCCUCCCUCCCUAGAUGAUUUCUAUGGCAAAAGUGCAGUUGCGCACACACCACUUCUUGUACCCUGCUGCUAAGUCACAAAAUGGUAAUGGGGGUUGUAUCUGAAGCAUAUAAGAACGGCUUUGUUUUAAAAGUUAAAGAUUGUAUCAUUAGCAUUUCCAGAACAGUAAGAUUGUUCAGGCUAGGGAAUGCAUAUAAUCUGCCACUAAAUUCAUCCCAUCCCCUCCCCUCUCCGUGCAAAACCUCAUCUGCACUGGUUUAACUAAAAGUGGAUUUUGAGAGAAAGAGUGUAUGUGUGUAUUCAGCUUAAUUGGGUUACAAGUCAAAUGAAGCUAAAUUGAUGUAUGGGGUUUAAACUGAUGUGAAAGUAUCCCUAUAGGGAUUUUGCCACCUUGAUUCAACUACAUUGACUUUCAGUUAAACCAGCGCAGCUUUUAAUAUAGGCAAGGCGUUAGUUACACACAUAGUGAACCAGAACCAAUAGAAAAAUAUAACCUUGAAUUUCACAUGUAUAGUACUUGAUCUUUCUUUCACUUCAGUCAAUUUCCAUGUAUUUUAAUAGGAGAAGGAUCAAGGUCCACAGUGUAAAAAGUCUGUUGAAUUACUUAAACUGUUACAUAUGGCAGGAGGAAAAACCACACAAGCCCCAUAUCUGGGAAACUUUGUAUAAUAGUAAAUCAGAAGUAUAAAUCAAGUAUAAAAUAAAUGUAUUAAUAGAGGUUUUCUGUUCAAGUUGCAGAUAUAACUUAAGUGAUGUGAUAUGAAAGCAGCAAAUACCCCACAUCACAUCCAUUAUUAUUAUUAUUUCAGUCAAAAUAUUGCAGGUACCUGUGCCUGCUGAUCCUCUACUGGUCCGGGGUUGAUUAGCAUAAUCAAUAACUGUGCAAGAACGGCGAUACUGUGGAUCCGGCUGAAAGAUAAGGUGCCAAACAACUUUACACCUACCAACCUGGGCAGAUUUGAAAUGGGGAUUUAGGACUUAAAGGUUCUGUACCAAUCACUUGAGCCAUCCAGUUCUCCAUUAAGUGUUUAUAAAUGCUAAUUGCUAAAGCAAAAUCUACCAAACAAUCUCUCUGGAUCUACAUAUUAUUUGGAUACAUUUGCCACUUUUUACCCAAAAUGCAUGUGUUGUAUUAGGCCUGGAGAAAUGAUCAGGUAAGAAAAGCCUCUCCUGUGGCUGCUGAUGGUUAAUCUCAUCUUCCAUUGCACUCUGAGCUCGACUGGAAUUCCCUCGGGGAUCCUACAUCAAAGUACAGGAAAAUUAACAAUCAAUCAGACUAUUUUUGAUUGUGAUUACUUUAAAGAUAAAAUCUUGGAAUCAGAGUCUAAUCAUCUAUGAGCAUCCUCACAGGAAACAGAAAAUGGUUCCUACUUUCACUGGCUCUGAAAAGCACUCAACUUUGUUCCAGUUUGUUGGUAAAACUCAUGAUCUUAUUUUUGUAUUUCAGCAUAUUAUCUUAUCAUAACUAUGAGGAAGAACUUCUAAGAACAUCAGGAUAAUGUGGAUAACAACAAAAAUAUAAACCAAAAAUAAAAAUACAAUAAAGAAUUCUUGAAUUUGCCAGUGCAA